UACGGGGGGAGCAAGCGUUGUUCGGAUUUACUGGGCGUAAAGGGCGCGUAGGCGGUCAGCACAAGUCAGUUGUGAAAUCUCCGGGCUUAACUCGGAAAGGUCAACUGAUACUGUGCGACUAGAGUGCAGAAGGGGCAACUGGAAUUCUCGGUGUAGCGGUGAAAUGCGCAGAUAUCUGGAGGAACACCGGUGGCGAAGGCGGCAUCCUGGACCGGCAUUGACGCUGAGGCGCGAAAGCCAGGGGAGCAAACGGG
rnacentral:rRNA from 1 species